rnacentral:rRNA from 1 species
UACGUAGGUGGCGAGCGUUGUCCGGAUUUACUGGGCGUAAAGGGCGUGCAGGCGGUUUGUUAAGUGCAGAGUGAAAGCUCCCGGCUCAACUGGGAGAGGUCUUUGCAUACUGGCAAACUCGAGGGAGGCAGAGGAAAGUGGAAUUCCCGGUGUAGUGGUGACAUGCGUAGAUAUCGGGAGGAACACCUGUGGCGAAGGCGGCUUUCUGGGCCUUACCUGACGCUGAGACGCGAAAGCGUGGGGAGCGAACCGG